CAGUCGCCGCGGUAAUACGUAGGGUGCAAGCGUUAAUCGGAAUUACUGGGCGUAAAGCGUGCGCAGGCGGUUAUAUAAGACAGAUGUGAAAUCCCCGGGCUCAACCUGGGAACUGCAUUUGUGACUGUAUAGCUAGAGUACGGCAGAGGGGGAUGGAAUUCCGCGUGUAGCAGUGAAAUGCGUAGAUAUGCGGAGGAACACCGAUGGCGAAGGCAAUCCCCUGGGCCUGUACUGACGCUCAUGCACGAAAGCGUGGAGAGCAAACAGGAUUAGAUACCCGGGUAGUCCCUGUCUCUUAUAC
rnacentral:rRNA from 1 species